rnacentral:rRNA from 1 species
CUUGUACACACCGCCCGUCACACUAUGGGAGCGGGUUCUGCCAGAAGUAGUUAGCCUAACCGCAAGGAGGGCGAUUACCACGGCAGGGUUCGUGACUGGGGUG